rnacentral:rRNA from 7 species
AGACCCGAAACCCGGUGAUCUAGCCAUGGGCAGGUUGAAGGUUGGGUAACACUAACUGGAGGACCGAACCGACUAAUGUUGAAAAAUUAGCGGAUGACCUGUGGCUGGGGGUGAAAGGCCAAUCAAACCGGGAGAUAGCUGGUUCUCCCCGAAAGCUAUUUAGGUAGCGCCUCGUGAAUUCAUCUCCGGGGGUAGAGCACUGUUUCGGCUAGGGGGCCAUCCCGGCUUACCAACCCGAUGCAAACUGCGAAUACCGGAGAAUGUUAUCACGGGAGACACACGGCGGGUGCUAACGUCCGUCGUGAAGAGGGAAACAACCCAGACCGCCAGCUAAGGUCCCAAAGUCAUGGUUAAGUGGGAAACGAUGUGGGAAGGCCCAGACAGCCAGGAUGUUGGCUUAGAAGCAGCCAUCAUUUAAAGAAAGCGUAAUAGCUCACUGGUCGAGUCGGCCUGCGCGGAAGAUGUAACGGGGCUAAACCAUGCACCGAAGCUGCGGCAGCGACACUGUGUGUUGUUGGGUAGGGGAGCGUUCUGUAAGCCUGUGAAGGUGUGUCGUGAGGCAUGCUGGAGGUAUCAGAAGUGCGAAUGCUGACAUAAGUAACGAUAAAGCGGGUGAAAAGCCCGCUCGCCGGAAGACCAAGGGUUCCUGUCCAACGUUAAUCGGGGCAGGGUGAGUCGACCCCUAAGGCGAGGCCGAAAGGCGUAGUCGAUGGGAAACGGGUUAAUAUUCCCGUACUUGGUGUUACUGCGAAGGGGGGACGGAGAAGGCUAUGUUGGCCGGGCGACGGUUGUCCCGGUUUAAGCGUGUAGGUGUGUGUUCCAGGUAAAUCCGGUU